rnacentral:rRNA from 1 species
CUUACCGUCAACGACCAGGGGUAUUGUUCCCUCGCCGCCAUCUUGGGUCCCGACAGUGCUUUACGACCCGAGGGCCUUCAUCACACACACGGCGUUGCUGCGUCAGGCUUUCGCCCAUUGCGCAAAAUUCCCC